GACGUAGGAGGCGAGCGUUGUCCGGAUUCAUUGGGCGUAAAGAGCACGCAGGCGGUUUGGCAAGUCGGAUGUGAAAACCCGAAGCUCAACUUCGGGCCUGUAUCCGAAACUGCCCGACUAGAGGUAGGUAGGGGAGAUCGGAAUUCCUGGUGUAGCGGUGAAAUGCGCAGAUAUCAGGAGGAACACCGGUGGCGAAGGCGGAUCUCUGGGCCUUACCUGACGCUCAGGUGCGAAAGCGUGGGGAGCAAACAGG
rnacentral:rRNA from 1 species